GGGCUUACGUUUGUAUCUCUCUUGCUUCGUCCUGCGUCACUUCCAUAGGUUAUUGCAACUCUACAAAGCUUCUUGCCUGAUCUCUUAUAUUCUAGGGGUGUGAUAUCUACACACCCUAUUUUACUUCUCACACAACUUUUUAAUUUUCGGACGUCGGAUCAGAUGAACUGAAGAAAAUCAACAAACAGAAAGUAUCAAGGGGUGUGUGAGAAGUAAAAUGGGAUGUGUGGAUAGCACACCCCAUAUUCUAAAAUCAAUUGAGAAUUGAGAAAUUAUGAAUAGUUCUACAUUUCAACGCACAUUGUUGUUUUGAUUUUGUUCUGAGGUCGAGGGAGGAGGCUAACUAUUGAGGUGUGCACCGUGAUCAUACAGGGUUGAAACCGCAGCUGUUGAGGCGUCUUGCAGAGGCUUACGCGUGUUGUCAUGAAAGGCAGACUUUAUUGUAGGCGGACUCAAACCGAGUCCCAAGAAAUGCUAGAGUUGUAGAGGUUCUUG
rnacentral:lncRNA from 1 species